UUAAUUUGUGGCAUACAUCCACAUGGGGAUAUUGCUUAUUUGAAGCAUCUGUCCAACAAGCUGGGGAGAAUUUACCAGAACAUUUGAACUUGAUCAGUAAGCUGCUUGAGCUGGGAGUUGUAGAACUAUUUGCCACAUGAGAAAUUACUUCCACAUUACUAUAUGCUCACUGUGAUAAGUACCACUAGGUUACCACUCCUGAAGAGGAAAGACGGGUUUCACCAUCUGGCUUAUGCUUAAAUAAGAAGUAUGUGUGCAAACAAUGGUUUUAAGGGUUUUUGGCAGUCUGUGAGUGCAAAAUUCUAACAGUCAAAUCCAGCGAUCAGUUAAGCAUGCUGUUUGGUUGAAUUAAUAUGAUUUAAUGUGAUUUACCACCACUGAAGUCAAUUAGACUUGGAAAUACAAGUACCCUGACCCAGUUGGCUUGAGGAUUUCAAGAAUGCCAAACAUUUAAUACAAUUUAAAUUGUUCUCUAAUGACUGGACAUGUUUUCAUCAUAGGUUCAUUUGGACUCAAUAAGCUCAAGUACUGCAGUGAGAAUAAUAUUAGCAGCUGUGACUGAUGUGUAAUGAAACUGUAACUGUGUAGAGCCAGAUUAAAGCUCAUAAGUGAUCUAGGCUUCCUGGUCCAAGCUCUAAACUCAGGAGUUUUGAGAUCUGAGCCACCCCUGCCAGAAGCUUCUUCUGUCCUUCUUAAGGUGUAUGCAAAUCCACCCGAAUGAGAGUUCACAGCUUAGAGAGCUGUAAAAUCAGCACUGCAAGCGGUUUGGUGUGCAAAGGGCAAGAAAACUGCCCAAAAGACUGACUUUACCGCACCAUUUUGCCUGCUGCUGUUUUUGCUACUUGCAAAAUGCUGCUGUGGCUGAUUUGAGAAUAUCAGUAAACACAUGCCUCUUGAUGAACAUACGGCAGUAAGUUUUCACUACACAGGACUUCAGGAGAAAUUUCACAUCUAGAGCUGAUUUUCACUCCCUGUGUACUCAGUAAAGAGGCAGCAACUAAGCAGCAGAAUUAAUUUCGUGGUAUGUAGAUAUGGUGUAUUGCAAAGGAACUGAUCAAUAGCCUACAUCUUUCAUGUUCUCUUUUACUAUUUUUGCCAUAUUUGGUGCAUACUGUGUGUCAAAUGAAAUCAGUCUAGUAUGGAUAGCCUGUGGGAGCAGCAGUGUUUAUGACCUACCAAGUAGCUUGUCUGUGUUUGUUGAUGGAUAAGCCUAAUCAGAUACCAGGCCACUGAGUCUCAACAGCUCAGUGUUUAAGGAUAUAUUCCAGUCUAUUUAAUAUUCAGGUUGAGACCAUUCCUGAAAGACUUUUUUUCAUAAAAGAUUAAGGAGGCAAUCCUAGGCACACUCACUUGGGAUUAAAACAAAGAACUGGAGCCGUCAACAUUUUGUCACAAAUACCUUAUAUAGUAAGACCAUUCACUGAAUUCAGUGAGCAAAGAUAUCUGUAAUUGAUUCAUGUUGGAAGAUAAAGCUGUGAACAGCUACCACUGACCAUUAUGGUUAUGAAUUACUUCCAGUAUGAGAGGCAAUAUGCUGAGGAUCUGGUUCUGUUGCCCUAACGGUCUGUUGUUGACUUCUCAUAGACCUCUGGUUUGCUGCCCUGUAAGCAGAAUGCUGGAUUAGAUAGAGUGGAGCUAUCGCCUUCUGACACGACAGCCCUAGCGCGCUUUGCCCGCACAACAGCCCUGUGGGAUAGAUUGUGCUGUGUGGUUAUGACAGCCCUGAACGCCUAAUGAAAAUGAGACUCUCGGUUUGACAAUUGCAACAAGCUGUACGUGGGGCUGCCUUGGCAGACAGUUUGGAAAUUACAGCGGGCUCAGGAUAACCCUGCCAGGCUGUUGGCAGAGACCUGUUAUUUGGAGCAUGCAGUUAUGUUGCUGUUUAAUCUUCAUUGCCUGACCCAGAGCAAAGUGCCAGUUAUAACUUUUAAAGAUAUAUAUGGUUUCAACUUGGCAUUUUUAAAGAGCUGUCUGCUCCUACUUCUCUAUGCACCCCUUUUAGAUCUUUUAAUAGCACACUAAUGUUUGAGGUGAUUGUGGUACUGAGGCUCUGGAUUUCUGUGCAUGCAAAACUCCUUUAUCCUUUUCUCAGUUUUCAAACAGGUGAUUAAAAGUUGCAAUCUUAUUUAUUUAUUUAAAACUUUUGUAUACCGUCAUAUCACAGAUGUCUUGGGACAGUUCACAAUCUUACACAUGUUGAGAUGGGAGGAGUCCUACAGUUCCCAGCAUUCUCCAGUCAACUGUGCAUACGAUUGCACUGUAGAACAGUUUUGUUUCUCUAGAAUUUCAGUGUUUUGUUUAUGCUACUCCUAUUUUAGGUCAUUUGUUUUAAAACUGGUUUAAUUGCAGUUGUGAGACACUUGGGAGGGCAUGGGGACUGAAAAGCUGCAUAUAAAUAUUUAUAUAAACAAAUGAGUGGGAAUUUGACCCUGGAUCUCUGUGAUUCUAACCCAGCAUUCUAGCAUUAUUUUAGCCCUACACAGUCUUGGGAAGUCACCAUCUCCCUUGAUCCCUCUGUCAUUGUCAGCUUGUGGAAGUGACAGUCUAAAGAGGAGAACCUCUGUCCUUGGAGGCUGUCCUCAUUAGCCAGAAAAACAUGGAAAAAUCUGUAUUCUGGCUCAUAUGGAGGGCCUCCAUCGAUUGGGCCAGACCGAUUGGGCCAGACACUUUUGUCACUUGUUAGAAACAUACACACACACAUACACAUACAGCAGGAGUCUCAAAACUUUCUUGGUCCAUAGGCACAUUUGGGAAUUUGAAAAACUGCUGUGGGCACUUCCACUGAAUGCCUAAUCAGUGGAUCACACUUGGAUGUCUACCUGACACAUCUAUGGAUUUUAGGCUGCAUUUUAUUCAGCAAAAAAUGUUUGUUUUAUAUUUAGUGGCCACUACAACAUAAAAGGGAUCAUCUAACUCAACUAAUUGCUAGCAGCGUUAUGCAGCUAAUGCUUCUUUUAAACAUUGCUGCUUCUAAACAGUGCUGUAUAUCUAAUGCUUCUUUAAAAGAUACUUUUUUGCAAUGUAUGCUAAUUGCUUCUUUUUGGGAAGAGGUUAUUGCACAGAUAAAAUCUGUACUGGAGCAGUCUUUAAUAUUCACUAAUGUGCACCCUUUUAAAAUUCUUAAAUUAUUAUUUAUUUUAAAUUAAAAUGGAAGGGAAACUGAUUUUUUGCACCUUUCUGACACCUAAAAGACUUAUUAAAGAGUGGAAGGAUAAACACUCACUUUUUAUAAUACUGGACUGAGGACCUUACAACAUUUCAGAUGCAUGAAUGGGUCGUUUAUAGAUGCCAGCUUCAAGUGGAUAUAUGGUCAACUUUUAUUGAAGCCUAUGUAUAAUGGCUAGGAAGUUGUAUACCUUUCACAUGUAUUCACUGCUAUGGAUAUAUAGAAAUCCAUGUAUGUGGAAUAAGGAAAAAAAAUGGGGGAAAUUUAAAAGCAUUUUUUAAAAUAUUGGGAGCCCAUGGGCACCAUGUUGGGGACCUUAGCAUGCAGUAUGUCUCUUAACUGCAGCAUGGUAUUUGGAUAACAGCUCAGAUAGGACCACUCUUAGAGAUGGAAGCCUCUGAAAUUACAGUACCAGCUGUCAUCACUAAAGUCCCUGCUGCUCCGAACAAAAGCAGGACACCUGUGGCUCCCCAGUUGCUCUUGGCCACUAAUGUCCACCAGUGCCAGCUAGCAUAACCAGUGGGUAGGAUGAUGGGAGCUGUAAUCCAGUAACUUCUGAAGGGCCACUGGUUCUUCCUUGCAUACAAUAUCCUUAAUGUGUGAUAUAUCAUUGUUGUGAGACACUAAUGGUACAGUCAAUUAAUUUGUGAUUGGUUCAUCUCGACGACAGAAAUGGCCCCAGAGCUCAGCCUUGCUAUACAGUGUUGCAACCUACUGGUGAAUAAUUUCUCUGUUUUUACUCACUAUUUAUCUAACCCUGACUCAAGGCCAGUGACCUUUUGCUGUUUGGCAAUCUCAGUUCUCCCAGUGGACCUGUGAACUUCAACACUGUUCCAUCUUCCCAUGGCAGUAUGAGACCAUAAGCAAAGCCAUGCUGGAUCAGACCAGUUGUCUGUGUAGUCCAGCAUGCCAUUCACAUGGUGGCAAACCAGCUGCCUACAGGAUCACUCAGGAUGGGUGCAAGUUCUCAGUUCUACCUGCCCAAAUUCGACCUGCCCAAGCUGGCAUAUGCAGGCAUGGUCCCUCUCCUCUGAUAAUGGAGACAGCACACAGCAAAAAAGGCUAGUAGCCAUUGAUAACUUCUUCUUCACAAAUUUGUCCAAUUGCUUUUAAUACCCUGUAAAUCACUGGCCAUCACUACUUCCUGCAGCAGUGAAUUCUAUUGUUUAUGUGUUGGAUGAAGAAAACUUUUUAUCUGUGCUGAAUCUUCCGCUCAUUAGCUUCAUGGGAUGAUCCUGGCUUCUACUAAUCAUUUAUGUAUAGGUGGAAAAGCAUUGGUUCUAAUACAGAACCCUGUUGGAUCCCACUUUUUAUCUCUCUCUAUUGGGAGAAAUUGCCAAUUUAUCCCCACUCUCUGUCUUCUGUUCUUCAACCAGUUGCUGAGUCAUAAGAGGACCCCUCUCUCCAUAUAUUCCAUGAUUGUUGUAGCCCGCCACAAACCAGAUGCCCUACCAAUGCUUUUGACUACAACUCCCAUGAUCCCUGACCAUUGGCCAUGAGGGGUAGGUCUGUUGGGAGCCAAAGCUCAGAACAUCGGAGGCCACUGUGCUAGGCAAGCCUGCUGUGGGGAAGUGGUGCCAAAGGUUUCAUAAGAUGGAUUGCACCAUCUGGGAAGUGUCCAGCAAGCCACCUGUUCUGGGAAGCCGUUCCAAGAAGAGAGAGAGGCUGGACUGAGCUGAGGACAGCAGCCAGGUCAGGCAGCGUCCCGCUGGAUUCAUGGCCCUAAGUGGUGGUUUUCUGCUUCUGCCAGCUACUUUCCCUUUUGUUAUUGUCCUCCAUGAGUCUUGCCUUCUCGUGAUGUGCCCAAAAUAUGACACUUUCAGUUUUGUCACUGUGCUCUCUGGCUUGAUAUGAUUUAGGACUCACUUGUUCAUCUUUCUGACUGUCCAAGGAACUCAAAAAGCUGUCUUCCAGCACUAUAUUUCAAGUACAUCAUUUUUUUUCUGCCAGCUUGCUUCGCUGUCCAGCUUUUAUGGGAAUGCAAUAGCAUGGAUGAUCUCGGCCUUGGUCUCCAGUGAAACAUCCUUACACUUGAUUAGCUUUUCUAGUUGUUUCAUCACCGCCUUUCUGAGUCUCAAGUUUUCUAAUUUCUUAGCUUUAAUCUUGCUCUGAAUUGAUGACUGGGCCAAGGUAAGUAAAAACUUUUAUAAUUUUCAUUACUUCACUGAUGAUGGUAAAGUUCUGUAAUUCUUCUGUAGCCAUGAUCUUUAUUUGCUUGCUGUUAAUCUGCAGUCCUGCUUUUGCACUUUCUUCUUUCACUUUCAUCAGGACUUGUUCCAGUUCAUUGCUGUUUUCUGCCAGUAGUAUGGUAUCAUUUGCUUAUCUUAAAUGUUUGAUUUAUCUUCCACCAAUUUCACUCCUGCGUCCUCUGAUUCUAAUCCAGUUUUCCAUAUAAUAUGUUCUGUGUACAUACUGAACAUAUAGGGAGGUAAAAUGCACCAUUUUCUGAUGCCUUUUGCUGUAAGAAACCAUUCUGUUUCUCCAUAUUCUGCCAUAACUGUAGCUUCUCGUCCACAGAAUAGGUUACAUAUAAGGGCAAUCAAAUGCUGAGGCUCACCCAUUUUUUUUCCAGGACCAUGCCUAGCUUCUUGUGAUCCAUGCAAAGGAUUUGCUGUGGUUUAUAAAGCAUAGAUUGAAAUUUUGACAUUCUUUGGUGUGCUCCGGUAUCCAGCAUAUUUUUGUGCCCUGAGUGCCUCUUCUUUUUUUGCAAUCCAGCUUGAACUUCAGGCAUUUCAUUCCAUAUAGGGUCAUAUUCUUUCAACGCCUUAAGCAUCACUUGGCUUACAUGGGAGAUCAAUGCAAUGAUCUCAGGAUUGCUGCACUCCAUAGCAUCUCCUUUCUUGGGGAUUGGAAUGUAUAUUGAAUGUUUCCAGUCUGAGGACCAUUCUUCUGUUUUUCAUAUUUCUUGGCAUAGUCUUGUUGGGAUUUGUACUAAUUCAGUCUUUGUGAAUUGGAAUAAUUCUUUGGAAGUCUACCUGCUCUGGGUGCUUUAUUCCUUCUAAGUACUUUCAGAGCAACUUUCAUUUUUCUUUCUAAUAUUGCAGGCUCUUCUUCAUAAGCUUCCUUUUGAAGGAGUUUCUUAUCCUUUUAUCUCUUCGGUAUAGUUCUUUCCGGUAUAAUUUCAACCUUCUCUUUAUUUUCAUUUGACCUUCUAGGAUGUUCCCUUUUAGUUUUUUAGCACCCCUCAUUUAGGUUCGAAUUUCCCUGUGAUUUCUUGGGUCUUCUGUAAGAGGUCUCUUGUUUUUUCUCUUUUUUUGUUCUGUUCUACAUUUUGCCACAUUUUUAGAGCUGCUGAAAAGUUGCAUUCAGGAUUCUGACUAUAUUCUUGAAACCUUUUGCCUUUGCUUCAUGUUUGUCCAUAGUAAUUUCAAAUUUUUUAUCUGUCAUUAAUCUAGAUUUUUCUUUGCUUUUGCUACAAUAAGUUUAGUCUUUUUGCAUUCUUUCCUAAUAAUGUC